GGGUCCAUAGCUCAACGGCCAGAGCGUUCGCCCGAUAAGCGAGAGACGAGAGUUCGAUCCUCUCUGGACCCA
rnacentral:tRNA from 2 species